GAAGUAGUAUGGACGUAAUUUUUUACUGUCCGUGCUUACUACAAAAAUUUUUUACCGGUUCCACAUCGUCUAUGUGAUCUAAAUAUGGUGAAGAAAAUAGCUAGGAAGACCCAGAAGCGAAUAGCAUUUGAAAGAAACUCUACAAUAUUUAAUAGCAUGAGGAACGACAAGGACCAACUUAGCACUAAGGAGAAAAAGGGGGUGUAUAAAAUAUCCAUGAAGGAUAUGGACAUGGGUCAAGACUUGGCGUAUAUAGGGGUCACGGCAAGGUCAAUAGGAACACGAAUGGAGGAGCAUAAAACUAAUAUCCUGAAAGCAAAAACAAUCACAGCCACAAAUAGAUUCAGUUGAUUUCAAGCACAAAAUGAGCAGUCUAAGGGUGCGGCCAUGCAGACGCGAAUUUGGAGCUGCGAGCGAUUUCUGGCGUCAUUCUGACGUCAUCACGCU
rnacentral:lncRNA from 1 species